rnacentral:rRNA from 1 species
UACGGAAGGCAGCAGUGGGGAAUAUUGUACAAUGGGCGCAAGCCUGAUGCAGCCAUGCCGCGUGUAUGAAGAAGGCCUUCGGGUUGUAAAGUACUUUCAGUCGUGAGGAAGGUGUUAAGGUUAAUAACCUUAGCAAUUGACGUUAGCGACAGAAGAAGCACCGGCUAACUCCGUGCCAGCAGCCGCGGUAAUACGGAGGGUGCGAGCGUUAAUCGGAAUUACUGGGCAUAAAGGGCACGCAGGCGGUUAAUUAAGUUGGAUGUGAAAUCCCCGGGCUUAACCUGGGAAUGGCAUUCAAGACUGGUUAGCUAGAGUCUUGUAGAGGGGGUAGAAUUCCAUGUGUAGCGGUGAAAUGCGUAGAGAUGUGGAGGAAUACCGGGUGGCGAAGGCGGCCCCUGGGACAAGACUGACGCUCAUGUGCGAAAGCGUGGGGAGCAAACAGGGAUUAGAUACC